CCGGCGACCGGCGCACGGGUGAGUAACACGUAUGCAACCUGCCCUCUUCAGGGGGACAACCUUCCGAAAGGGAGGCUAAUCCCGCGUAUAUCGGUUUCGGGCAUCCGAGAUCGAGGAAAGAUCAUCGGAAGAGGAUGGGCAUGCGGCGCAUUAGCUAGACGGCGGGGUAACGGCCCACCGUGGCGACGAUGCGUAGGGGUUCUGAGAGGAAGGUCCCCCACACUGGUACUGAGACACGGACCAGACUCCUACGGGAGGCAGCAG
rnacentral:rRNA from 1 species